rnacentral:rRNA from 1 species
CCUACGGGGUGCAGCAGUGAGGAAUAUUGGUCAAUGGACGAGAGUCUGAACCAGCCAAGUAGCGUGAAGGAUGACUGCCCUAUGGGUUGUAAACUUCUUUUAUAUGGGAAUAAAACGUUCCACGUGUGGGAUUUUGUAUGUACCAUAUGAAUAAGGAUCGGCUAACUCCGUGCCAGCAGCCGCGGUAAUACGGAGGAUCCGAGCGUUAUCCGGAUUUAUUGGGUUUAAAGGGAGCGUAGGUGGAUUGUUAAGUCAGUUGUGAAAGUUUGCGGCUCAACCGUAAAAUUGCAGUUGAAACUGGGAGUCUUGAGUACAGUAGAGGUGAGCGGAAUUCGUGGUGUAGCAGUGAAAUGCUUAGAUAUCGCGAAGAACUCUGAUGGCGAAGGCAGGUCACUGGACUUCAACUGACACUGAGGCACGAAAGUGUGGGGAUCAAACGGGAUUAGAUACCCUGGUAGUC